rnacentral:rRNA from 1 species
GCAACUCGACUACAUGAAGCUGGAAUCGCUAGUAAUCGCAGAUCAGAAUGCUGCGGUGAAUACGUUCCCGGGUCUUGUACACACCGCCCGUCACACCAUGGGAGUCGGAAAUGCCCGAAGCCGGUGACCAAACCAAUAAGGAAGGAGCCGUCGAAGGCAGGUCUGAUAACUGGGGUGAAGUCGUAACAAGGUAGC